GUGACCGUAGCUCAGUCGGUAGAGCUCAGGUUUGUGGAUCCUGCGGUCGCGGGUUCGAGCCCCGUCGGUCACC
rnacentral:tRNA from 1 species